rnacentral:rRNA from 1 species
ACUGUUAGCUAGCUUUCUGCAACUCUCACAUGGUCGCCCACCAAAGCUAAGCAGGGCUGCGCAUGGUCAGUACCUGAAUGGGAGACCACAUUGCAAAGCUAGGUUGCUGCCCGUA